rnacentral:rRNA from 1 species
UACGUAGGGGCCUAGCGUUGUCCGGAUUUAUUGGGCGUAAAGAGCUCGUAGGCGGUUUGUCGCGUCUGCUGUGAAAACUCGGGGCUUAACUCCGGGCCUGCAGUGGGUACGGGCAGACUAGAGUGCGGUAGGGGGAGACUGGAAUUCCUGGUGUAGCGGUGAAAUGCGUAGAUAUCGGGAGGAACACCAGUGGCGAAGGCGGCUAUCUGGACGGUUUCUGACGCUAAGACGCGAAAGCGUGGGGAGCAAACAGG